AUUCACUCCAGAUACGAGCACUAUCCCGGGACAGGACUUAGAUCCACGUUGUGAAAUUUUCAAAUGAUGGAGGGAGGAAAGGACAUAGCAGAAGAGAAGAGUCAUCACUCCUUCCGGCCCAAGGGGAGACGCAGCUGCAUAAAGAACCACCCCCCCACCGCCGCCUCCACUGUCUCACUGUCUGGCCCCUACUCUUCAGCCCUUCCUCAUCUAGAGCUGGAUCUGACACCAAAGGCGUCUUGUGAGCAGUGUCAUGACCGAGAAUGAAUACUCUGGAUGUGGUGGCUGGCUCCUUGUGAAGAAGAAUUCAAUCAGAUUCCAUUUGAUUAAUCUGCAUUGAGAUCCUAGUAUGUGUCCGACACUAUGCAGAAAUACUUCACUCCCUCUUCCAUGGCAGACCAUGAUGAACUAGGGUUUGCUGUUUUCACGGCUUCUGUCACUGUUGGAGCUGAGGCUGAGGCUGCAGCAGGAGCUCCUCUGGCCCCGAGGCAAGAGACAUGUUCUCUGCAUCCCCAGGGGACCCAAAGCAACUUCUGGUUUGGGUUAAAGAGGACUUGGGUGACCCCACCCUGCCAGUCAUCCACCCUCUGGCAGCCAGGGCGGCAGCAGGGGAGGGGGCAGAAGGCUGCCACAGUGCUUCUCUCCCCUGCCAUUUCCUCUGCAGCUCCCUCUCUGGCCCUGUUUUUCAGACCUCUAGUAAUAAAAACAAGCCAAUAAAAUGAACAUGAAAAUA
rnacentral:lncRNA from 1 species